GCUGGGCAUGGUAGCACACACCUGUAGUCCCAGCUGCUUGGGAGGCUGAGGUGGGGCGAUUGCUUGAGUCCAGGAGUUUGGGGUUGCAGUGAGCUGUGAUUAUGCCACUGCACUCCAGCCUGGGCAACAGAGCAAGACCCUGUCUCAA
rfam:Homo sapiens chromosome 12, GRCh38 reference primary assembly.